GACGAACGCUGGCGGCGUGCUUAACACAUGCAAGUCGAACGGAAAGGCCCCUUUGGGGGUCCUCGAGUGGCGAACGGGUGAGUAACACGUGAGUAACCUGCCCUUGACUUCGGGAUAACUUCAGGAAACUGGGGCUAAUACCGGAUAGGAAUCCUUGCUGCAUGGUGGGGGUUGGAAAGCUUCGGUGGUUUUGGAUGGACUCGCGGCUUAUCAGCUUGUUGGUGGGGUAGUGGCUUACCAAGGCUUUGACGGGUAGCCGGCCUGAGAGGGCGACCGGCCACAUUGGGACUGAGAUACGGCCCAGACUCCUACGGGAGGCAGCAGUGGGGAAUAUUGCACAAUGGGCGGAAGCCUGAUGCAGCAACGCCGCGUGCGGGAUGACGGCCUUCGGGUUGUAAACCGCUUUCAGCAGGGGCGAAGCUUGUGGUGACGGUACCUGCAGAAGAAGCACCGGCUAACUACGUG
rnacentral:rRNA from 1 species